UUUGCGAGGGAAGCAGCUCCCCCGUCCGGCCGCGCUUGGAAAGCACACCGCUUUUGCCAUUGGCUUUGCACAAGAGGUGCUGUCGCUAGGGCGGCAGCUUGGCGGCUUCUGACGGAGCCGGAGUCCCUCUCUGUGUAACCAAGGAGCCGGCGUCUUUCGAGCAGCAGACACACAGUGUUGCUGCUGCUGCUGCUUCCACGUCCUCCUCUCCAUGCACCAGGCGCUCUCCCAGCCCGUGGACGCCUAUUUCGACCUCCAUGGAAAGAGAUCCGCCGCCGCCGCCGCCUUCUUCUCGCCUCGCAGCCCGGGUUCGGCUUUAAGGCGCGCGCACUGGCUCGCAGCAGGUACCCGAGUUAGCGCCGCUUUUCAGACUUCGGGAUUUCUCACCCGUCAGACUCUGCCCUGCCGGCUCUUUCCUCCUCCGCUCCAGUCCCCGCUUUGCCGGAGAGCUGGGGAAACGGACCGCAGGAGAAGCAGCAGCUGCAGCAGCAGAACGCCAGUCCCCUCGCCUCGGUCGGUAGUACAGAGCUAACCUGAUGGCGUCUCACCAGCAAAACAGGAUCCAAGCCUACUUGGAGAAGAACAAGAUCGGGCCCCUCUUUGAGGAAUUGAUGACCAAGCUGAUAACUGAGACACCUGAUCACCCAAUCCCAUUUCUGAUUGACCAUCUCCAGUCAAAACAAGGGAGUCGUGGCCAGCUUCAGAGAACAUUAUCUGGAUCUGCUGCACUCUGGGCAGAAAGUGAAAGUUCAGAAAAUAAGGGAACUAGAAGGGAUUCCAGAAGUUAUGAUAAACCCUGGCAGACAAAUGCAAAGAAGCCUAAAAAAUCAAAAAGUGACCUUGCUGUAUCCAACAUUUCUCCUCCAUCACCAGAGUCCAAAUCAUUGCCGAGGUCAAUAGAACACCCCAAAUGGAAUUGGAGAACAAAAUCAGAGCAUCAUGAUUUUGAUGAAUUAAAUCAUAUCCUUCAAGAAAGUAAGAAGCUUGGUAAAGCCCUGGAGAAUCUUUCUCGAAGCAUUGCAGUUUCUGAUGAGCUUGAUAAGGAUGCAGCAGCCUGUAAUGUUCCUCUUCUACGACCCCGUGUUGUUGGUGAAUGGGUUGGCCGUGAAGAGAAUGAUGCAGAUCCAUUGGCUGCUGAAAUGCUGCAACCUCCAAUACCAAGAAGCAAAAUGGAAAAAUGGGAUAGUGAAGACAGCAGCAGUCCUGGAGGAAGUUUAAAGAUGGAACCAAAGACCAAAGGACUGAAACACCAGCAGCAGCAACAUAAGAAACUGCUUGCUGCUAUGCUUUCCCAGGAUUCAUUUGAUUCUGUACAAAGCACAGCACCAUCUGUAACUGAAGAAGAUAUUGACAAUGAAGAUGAUGCAAUGGAACUACUUGAGGAUCUUGAUGAUUUAAGAAUGGAAGGAGUAACUAGUGUCAUUUAUUCUGGGAGCAAAUUUAACCAAGCUCGAAGUAUACACACAGCUGAACCGCAAGCCAAGGUCACAUUGAACAUCUGUGCAAGGUGUGCAAGACUGCAAGGAGAUAACUUGGCAGAAAGAACGGAAGAUGUAUCUGUUGCCUCUCAGACUCAUGAGCAAGAAGUAUCAGAACCUGUUGCUUCAGUACCUGGGGCAGAAAUUUUGAUGGAAAGUAGCGAUCAACUGGAGAAUGUACUCCAAGUAACAGAGCAGUCACAUCAGAAUCAGCCUGUUUGGGAUCCUGACAUUAUGGGUUCCAGAACUGAGGACUCCACAAGCCAGAAACUAUUAAAAGAUUCCUUGGCGGCAAAAGAAUUGCAGACCAUGGAAAAACACCUUGCUGCCCCUCAAUUCCUUGCAAGCGGAGAACCUAGCUGCCCAAAGUUUCUUCUCAGCAGGCAAAUGUCCCAUAUCAUUGCUCCAGCACAAGACAUUGCCAAGGACCUAGCAAUGUGGGAAGAAGGAAGACUAUCAAGGAGUGCCAGUAGCCCACAAACUAAUUUUGUUGCACUAGAUCACCAAGGAAAUUUUAAAGUUGCACCAAGCCAGGAUGCAGGACCUCAAGUGCCAAGUCUGACUGGGAAAGAUAUUCUGCUUCAACUUCAAAGAAACAAAUCACCACCAUUAUCCAGUAACAAUAGACUGCAGGUCUCCAGUGUCACAAACAGUAGGGCGCAAUCUCCCAGUACACAGACCAACAGGUCUGCAGUGUUGCCAGCACCAGGAAGCAGGCCUGCAACCUCAAAUACUUUAUUACAAAGACCUCUUUCCCCUAGCAACAAAGGAAACAAAGAAGGAAUCGUUAAUAUGCAAGGAAGCCAGUCCUUAAUAUCAAAGAACCGACUUGGGAGGACCGUCAGCACUCCCUCAGGGUUCCUUGAAACAAGCGGAGACACUCUAGGAAAUGUCACUCAAAGAAGCAGUUUAUCUGAAGAGGAAUUCUUGCAACAGCUUCAGCUUGCUCACCAGCCAUGGAUUUUGCCAAGUGAUACCGAAAGUGAAGGGGUAGAAAUAGGUCCAGAAAAACGAACGGAGCCAGAAGGCAGUAGCGGAGAACCAAACACAGUUCGAAGAUUGGGCAGCAGGGGUAAAUCCAAAAGGUGCCUGUUCUCAUGUAGCCAGAUUCUUGUAUCAGCAAGGCUUGUUGGGCAGAACAGACCAGCGAAGAAGGCUCAUCUGGAGGCUGAGAGUGGGAAUGGCGCAAAAAGCAAGACAUGGCCUGGUGUUAUGGCUGGUGUCAGGUCAAUCACCCAAACUGGGUGACUCCAAGGUGAACACUGAAACAGGAGGGACAGUCAACAGGAGAACCUUGAACAGUUUGUGGAUGAAAUCAAUUGAAGCAAUGAAGAAUGGUUUCCCAUCAGUAUAUAACCGAUAAGGGAAGAGUUAUUUUCACUCAUUAUGUAUAAUAAAAGCUUAUUUUUAUAAAUUCAACAAAACUAAGUGGAAUUAUUCUAAUGUAUGGAUGCUAAAUUGUUAAAAUGCACUGAACCUCACAUCUUACAGUGCAGUGGCCUUAGGUAAAGGUGGUGACCUGUCACUUUUAAUACAUAGUCCGUAAUAUAAUGUAUUUUGUUUAAUUUAUAACCCUGUUGUUUUGGACUGACAUUUGAUAUAUCAAACUUUGCCUGGUGAAAAGAAAGUUUCCUCAAAGAUUUUAUGCAUUUAACUUGACUAAGGUUUAUACUCCUUAUAUUUUUCUAAACUUUCCCUCAUUUUUAGAUUAAUAAACUUUUAAAGUCUUUAGCCACAUCUGCCAGUAUGUAUGUACAACAUUGGGCCAUCACAGAAGCCCUCUUCAGGCAUUAUGUGAUUGUAUACACUGUACACACCAACAGUUGUGUGCCAGCAGACCCCAGCCCCCACACUGAAACACUCUGUAAACCUGUCUCUUCACUGUCCCCAGCAUUCUUAAUCAUGUGGGGGGAUCUCUCCCUGGGUACAAUGCUUGUCUCUGCAGAUAAACUCUUGCGAUUAUAGACAGUUGAGGGGCAGGGCAGGCAGUGAUUAAGGAACACAUUGGCAUUGGCAGGAGCUUCCAGCACACUUCUGUUGGCAUUAUACAUAACACCUGAAGGGGCCUAGAGAAGGGGCUGUUCACUCAUAAUCACUGCAAAAAUUGGCUGAGACAAUAGCAAGGGGAGAGGAAUUGGACUUUUCACACUGCAUUUACUGAUUUCUAAUUAAAUCUUACAAAACAGACUACAAAAUGAAAUAUAAUGUGGAAUGCAGCAUGCAUAAAUGAAGUGUACUAAUUUCAUAUAUAUGAUAUUAUUUACCCAUAUCCUAAAUGGCUUCAGCAUCUGACAGAUUAUUUGACAAUUUAUUAAAUGUAUUUAUGUGUUUGAGUACUCUAUUCUGUGAGUAUAGAAUUCAUGCAGAGAUGUCUAAUGAAAGAGCAGUCAGAAUGACUGCAUUUUCAGUAUUCAUUUAGCUAUUUAUUUUGUUAAGCAUGGGUUUGGUUUAAUGCCUUCAUUUCUCUUUGAUUUCUGUUUCUCACCCAUAACCAUAUCAUAAAAUUGCCUGCUGUUACAAUAGAUAUGCAUUGCCAAAUUAAGAAAUAAAAAUUAACUUCCUAUUGCAAA